UUUAUUGGUUUUUAUUUAAAGCGGUAAUUAAGUUGUUUGUGGAUGUUAAAAUUUUAAUUAAAAUAAUAUGUGGAUCAGUUAAAAAAAAGUGUGUGACCUCUGUCACAAAACGACAAAUAAUAAAACGGAUAUCUAUUUGUUGGGUGAUUAGAUGGAGUACAAAAAAAUUCGAUUGCUUUCUACCAAUCUGCCACAAAACGGGGGAAAAUGCGAUGACAUUUUAGGUUUUUUAUUGGAUGAUAUUCGGAAAGAAAUUAAGUCAUCAAAAAAGCGUCACUGCGUAUAUUGUACAGAAAAAUGCGCUAGCUUAGAAUGCCAGAAAUGUAAUCAAUUUUUUCAUUUAGAAUGUGGCAUAAUUAAUAAAUGCUUGCUUUAAUUUGCUGAUGAUUUUCGGUCGUACUGCGAUUUAUAUCUGCCAUUAGACGACAAUUAAAGUAAAUUAAUGAAAAUCCCACCAGCGUUCAACGAGUACUGUUGUUGGAUAUGCGAAGAAAUAACGGGCUUUUACUUUCCAAACUUAUGGAUUUAUGGUAAAUGUUGUGGAAAUGGCUAUGUACAUCGCCCAUGCAUGCAAAAGUAUGCAUCCACUGCAGGAUACUAUUUAAAGUGUAUUUGGUGUAGAGAUGAACAGUUUCCUGAAAUAGUGAAGAAUCAAGGUAUAUUCGUACCCGACCGCGUUGCAGAGUGGGAACAAGAAGAAGGUGCCUUUAGUGAUUUGCACCUCAGACAUCAUUGUGAUAUAGAAACAUGCCUAACAUAUGUCCCAGUGGACGGAAUUAUAUAGGAGAUAAAGUUAAUGGUAAAUGGAAUUUAAUUCUGUGUAAAUUGUGUGGUUCUGUUGGAGGUCAUAAUCCUUGCAUUAUGAGGAAUAUCAAGUCUUCCGAAAUAGUUAAAGAAUUUAAAUGUGAAUUAUGUUAUGAUAGAAGCACGUAUGCAACAGAAAAAUAAAACUUGUAAAACAAAUGAAGUAGAAAUUGAAAACCCAGAAACUCCCGAAAAGUCGGCAGCUAAAGAUAAAGAUCUUGACAGAAGUAUCUUCCAAACUAAAAGGCUAAGCUUGCUGCAAAAGGAGAGUCAUACAAAUGAAGCACAUUUAUUUUCGGAAGAAAUGAUGAAUUUAAUGUAACUUUAUGUAGUUACAUUAAAAAAGCAUUAAAAAACCUACUCCAUUAGUUAUACAAAAUUCGGAACAAAAGGUUGAAAUACAUAAUACUGAUGUUGUUGCAAUAGAAAGUCAGAAUAUGGAAGCUGAUGAUAUGCUCAAUCAGAAUGCCAAUCAAUAUAGUACAACUAUUACAAUCUUUGAAGACUCAGAAUUUUGGAAUGAAUCUAAUGAAUACAAUAAGUGAUAUAUCUACGAUCAGUUUAGACUGAUCCUUAGAAGAAAUAAAUAUAAAUAUUUUAUUUAUAAUCUAAAAUAUA